AGUGAACGCUGGCGGUAGGCCUAACACAUGCAAGUCGAACGGCAGCACAGGAGAGCUUGCUCUCUGGGUGGCGAGUGGCGGACGGGUGAGGAAUACAUCGGAAUCUACCUUUUCGUGGGGGAUAACGUAGGGAAACUUACGCUAAUACCGCAUACGACCUACGGGUAAAAGCAGGGGAUCUUCGGACCUUGCGUGAUUGAAUGAGCCGAUGUCGGAUUAGCUAGUUGGCGGGGUAAAGGCCCACCAAGGCGACGAUCCGUAGCUGGUCUGAGAGGAUGAUCAGCCACACUGGAACUGAGACACGGUCCAGACUCCUACGGGAGGCAGCAGUGGGGAAUAUUGGACAAUGGGCGCAAGCCUGAUCCAGCCAUACCGCGUGGGUGAAGAAGGCCUUCGGGUUGUAAAGCCCUUUUGUUGGGAAAGAAAUCCAGCUGGUUAAUACCCGGUUGGGAUGACGGUACCCAAAGAAUAAGCACCGGCUAACUUCGUGCCAGCAGCCGCCGUAA
rnacentral:rRNA from 1 species